ensembl:snoRNA
GGUACUUGUGUGCGUUUUUGUCUUAACUUGUGGACUUCUAAAAACUUAAUGGACAGGUGCGAAAAAUAAAUCCACGUUCGAAACCCAGAACUCACAGUUCAGUAAGAGUUUUGAUACGUGCAAGAGGAAAUAUU